UUGAGAGAGGUGUAAAAAAGAAUUUCCCCACAGGGAUUAAUAAAGUGUAAAAAUAUGAAUAGAAAAAUAUGGUAUUAUUGUGUGUUAUUUUUUUGGUGGUGGAGGGGUUGGGGGGGUGCCCUUUUUUCAGAUUCAGCACAUGGCCCUCAAAAGGUCUGUGCACGGCCCUGCUCUACGUUGCACUGGAUGCACAUUUGAUUAUACUAUAUCAGACAUGCCCUAAUUGUGGAAAUGGUGGUGCUUGCUGUUGAUGGAGAACUUUGAUCUCAGGAGCUAUGGCAAGCUUUUUGCACACUGGAGAGAGGACGCCAAAGCUGUGCUUCAAGGACAACAUGUGCCCAUUUUCAGAGUGAAAAAGCGUAAGUUACCGGAAGUCAGUAAGGUCAGUAUUCACUUUAAACACUAGUGUAAUUAAAUGGUUAGUGACUUUUGACUCACUGUUAAAAUAACCCCAUUUGUUUGACACAGGAGCCAGCAGUUGUUCAAGAUCUGCAUACUGCUGUGCAGUGGGUUGUCCAAAAUGAGGCGCUUUUCCAUGGACAUGUAACCACGCCAAAAUAUCUGUCCUUAAAUAAAAAGGACCAGCAGAGGGUCUUAAGCAGAGUGCGAAUUACCCCUCCAUAACACUUCUAUGACCAUUAUGGUCCGCUAUCACAUCAAUAUGAAUAGUCGCCACCAGGAUCAAUGUUAAGAGUGCAAGAUGCGCUAGGGGUGUUUACUAACAUGUAUGCAACACACGGUCAUGGUCUGGA